UCCUGACUAGUAUAUCGGUUAGUACACGCGCUUGUCAUGUCUCUAUCCGCGCGAAAGCUGGGUUCGACUCCCAGGUCAAGAG